GGCUGGCUAGUUCAGUUGGUAGAGUAUCAGACUUCUAAUCUGAGGGUCCAGGGUUCAAGCCCCUAGUCAGACA